rnacentral:sRNA from 1 species
UCAUUGAUACUGUAGGGCAGGAAGUGAG